GCGGAGGAAAAGAAACCAACAGGGAUUGCCUCAGUAACGGCGAGUGAAGCGGCAACAGCUCAAAUUUGAAAUCUGGCUCCUUCGGGGUCCGAGUUGUAAUUUGCAGAGGAUGCGUCGGGUACGGGUCCCUACCGAGUUCCCUGGAACGGGACGCCAUAGAGGGUGAGAGCCCCGUCUGGUAGGAUACCCAGCCCAUGUGACGCUCCCUCGACGAGUCGAGUAGUUUGGGAAUGCUGCUCUAACGGGAGGUAUACUCCUUCCAAAGCUAAAUACCGGCUGGAGACCGAUAGCGCACAAGUAGAGUGAUCGAAAGAUGAAAAGCACUUUGAAAAGAGAGUCAAACAGCACGUGAAAUUGUUAAAAGGGAAGCACUCGCUACCAGACUUGGGUUCGGCGGUUCAACCGGGGCCACGCCCCGGGGCAUUCCGCCGGCUCAGGCCAGCAUCAGCUUUCCGUCGGGGGCAAAGACGUCGGGAAUGUAGCUCCUCCUAGGGGGAGUGUUAUAGCCCGGCGUGUCAUACCCUUCGGGGGGCUGAGGUACGCGCUUCUGCAAGGAUGCUGGCGUAAUGGUAGCUAGUGACCCGUCUUGAAACACGGACCAAGGAGUCAACCUUAUGUGCGAGUGCCCGGGCGUAAAACCCCAGCGCGGAAUGAAAGUGAACGUAGGUGAGAGCUUCGGCGCAUCACCGACCGAUCCUGAUGUCCUCGGACGGAUUUGAGUGAGAGCAUAUAGGGUUGGACCCGAAAGAAGAUGAACUAUGCGUGUGUAGGGUGAAGCCAGAGGAAACUCUGGUGGAGGCUCGCAGCGGUUCUGACGUGCAAAUCGA
rnacentral:misc_RNA from 1 species